AGAACUAGAGGGAAGGCAAGAUGUUGGCAUAGCUGUACAGUCAGAAACCUGCUAUGCCAUUGUAUUGCCAUCUUUCUUG